rnacentral:rRNA from 1 species
UGCCAGCCGCCGCGGUAAUGCGUAGGUGGCAAUCGUUAUCCGGAAUUAUUGGGCGUAAAGCGCGCGUAGGCGGUUUUUUAAGUCUGAUGUAAAAGCCCACGGCUCAACCGUGGAGGGUCAUUGGAAACUGGAAAACUUGAGUGCAGAAGAGGAAAGUGGAAUUCCAUGUGUAGCGGUGAAAUGCGCAGAGAUAUGGAGGAACACCAGUGGCGAAGGCGACUUUCUGGUCUGUAACUGAAGCGGAUGUGAGAACGCGUGGGGAUCAAACGGGAGGAGAUA